rnacentral:ribozyme from 1 species
UGUCCAGCAACUCCUAUCCCUACCUCCUCGUAGUACUGGCCGGGGUACGAGUAACCUUGGGGAAGAUCGGGUAACCAACCCCCGGUGGGAACUUUGGUCGUAUGCUGACAGGGAAGG